ACGAACGCUGGCGGCAGGCCUAACACAUGCAAGUCGAGCGCGCCCUUCGGGGUGAGCGGCGGACGGGUUAGUAACGCGUGGGAACGUGCCCAGAUCUAAGGAAUAGCCACUGGAAACGGUGAGUAAUACCUUAUACGCCCUUCGGGGGAAAGAUUUAUCGGAUUUGGAUCGGCCCGCGUUAGAUUAGGUAGUUGGUGGGGUAAUGGCCUACCAAGCCUACGAUCUAUAGCUGGUUUUAGAGGAUGAUCAGCAACACUGGGACUGAGACACGGCCCAGACUCCUACGGGAGGCAGCAGUGGGGAAUCUUGGACAAUGGGGGCAACCCUGAUCCAGCCAUGCCGCGUGAGUGAUGAAGGCCUUAGGGUCGUAAAGCUCUUUCGCCUGUGAUGAUAAUGACAGUAGCAGGUAAAGAAACCCCGGCUAACUCCGUGCCAGCAGCCGCGGUAAUACGGAGGGGGUUAGCGUUGUUCGGAAUUACUGGGCGUAAAGCGCGCGUAGGCGGAUUAGUCAGUUAGAGGUGAAAUCCCAGGGCUCAACCCUGGAACUGCCUUUAAUACUGCUAGUCUUGAGUUCAGAGAGGUGAGUGGAAUUCCGAGUG
rnacentral:rRNA from 1 species